CACGGGUGAGUAACACGUAUCCAACCUGCCGUCUACUCUUGGACAGCCUUCUGAAAGGAAGAUUAAUACAAGAUGGCAUCAUGAGUCCGCAUGUUCACAUGAUUAAAGGUAUUCCGGUAGACGAUGGGGAUGCGUUCCAUUAGAUAGUAGGCGGGGUAACGGCCCACCAAGCCUUCGAUGGAUAGGGGUUCUGAGAGGAAGGUCCCCCACAUUGGAACUGAGACACGGUCCAAACUCCUACGGGAGGCAGCAUG
rnacentral:rRNA from 1 species